rnacentral:rRNA from 1 species
CCUACGGGAGGCAGCAGUGAGGAAUAUUGGGCAAUGGAGGCAACUCUGACCCAGCCAUGCCGCGUGAGUGAAGAAGGUGUUCGGAUGGGAAAGCUCUUUCGGAGGGGACGAGGAUGACGGUAGCAGAGAAAGAAGCCCCGGCUAACUUCGGGCCAGCAGCCGCGGUAAUACGAAGGGGGCAAGCGUUGUUCGGAAUGACUGGGCGGAAAGGGAGGGUAGGCGGUUUAGUAAGAUAGUGGUGACAUCCCCGGGCUUAACUUUGGAAUUGCCAUUCUAACUAUUAGACUAGAAUUACCGAGCGGUUAGUGGCAUGCCCAGUGUAGCGGUGCAAUUCUUCGAUAUUGUGUAGAACCCCAGUGGCGAAGGCGCCUUUCUGGCUGUCCAUUGCCGCUGAGGCUCGACCGCCUGGGUAUCACACAGGAUUAGAUACCCCAGUAGUC